rnacentral:rRNA from 1 species
GAAAAGAAAGCAAAAGCGAUUUCCCAAGUAACGGCGAGUGAACAGGAAUAAGCCUAGCGCUAAGGCUCAAUAGGGUGGUUUACAGCAAUGUAGAUUGUCAUUUCCGAGAGGCUAUUGAGCGGUGCAGCGUUACAAACCACAAUGUCUAGUAAUAUCAUCGAUAGGGAGUGGGCAACUAUUUCCUAUCCUCGGCCUAGCAUGCAAGUUCCAUUGACUUGGACUAAUUGCAAAUGACUACGCGCUUGGGGCAACUUGAGCGUGUCGUUGAGCCAUAGCGGGUGAAAGCCCUAUACCGUGCAGGCAUUGAUAUUACGGAUUGUGGAUGGUGCCGUAAGGUAUCAAAUUUGUUAGAGUCGAGUUGCUUGAGAGUGCAACUUAAAGUGCGAGGUAAACUACUCGUAAGGCUAUGUAAUACGGCUACGACACCGAUAGCAAACAAGUACCGUGAGGGAAAGUUGAAAUAGAACUUUGCAGAGAGAGUUAACAGGGCGUGAAACCGUUAAUUGGCAAACGAAUCGGAGCCACGAAGUCGUUUCGCUGAUAGUUGGGCCAGGUUCAAUUUGAAAGUAAAUUAUUUCAAAUGUAUUCUUGCGCUUCCCAACCAAAUCUUUGUAAGCGUACACUGCAACCAGUUAGACAAUUGGUGAUGGAACAAGUUAGUCUAUCUCCUUGUGGGAUAUUUUAACGAAAUAUUUGUUUACUCGAAUUGGUAGUAUUGAGGUGUUUCUUUCGGGAAAUUCUCUUGGUACUGGAUUUGUAGUAAGUGAACUAUUACCAAAUACUGACUGGCAAAAUGAAAAUCACUUCUAUAAGUGUUUCUAUAAAAUGCAGUUCUUUAUAUUAUUGCCUACAUGUUUAACCAUUGAGUUUUAAGCUCAACAUUUUUGAAUUUGGACUUGCUAGCUAUCAAUGGGGCAACUCUUGGUGCUAGUAUGGCUUCCAUCUAAUCGGGUGUUGACUUGAUUCGAUGUUGUUUAGGCAUGAAACGAUUGGGUAAAAAUAUAAAAGAAUUUG